rnacentral:rRNA from 1 species
CCGCGGCCCGUUAUCCGGGUCCGGGACAUGGCGUGGCGGGCAGUUUGACUGGGGCGGUCGCCUCCCAAAGAGUAACGGAGGCGCGCGAUGGUGGGCUCAGAACGGUCGGAAAUCGUUCGCUGAGUGCAAUGGCAUAAGCCUGCCUGACUGCGAGACUGACAAGUCGAGCAGAGACGAAAGUCGGCCAUAGUGAUCCGGUGGUCCUGCGUGGAAGGGCCAUCGCUCAACGAAUAAAAGGUACUCUAGGGAUAACAGGCUGAUUUUGCCCAAGAGUCCAUAUCGACGGCAAAGUUUGGCACCUCGAUGUCGGCUCAUCACAUCCUGGGGCUGAAGCAGGUCCCAAGGGUUUGGCUGUUCGCCAAUUAAAGUGGUACGUGAGCUGGGUUUAAAACGUCGUGAGACAGUUUGGUCCCUAUCUGCCGUGGGCGUUGGAAAUUUGAAGGGGGCUGCUCCUAGUACGAGAGGACCGGAGUGGACGAACCUCUGGUGUACCGGUUGUCACGCCAGUGGCAUUGCCGGGUAGCUAAGUCUGGAAGAGAUAACCGCUGAAAGCAUCUAAGCGGGAAACUUGCCUUGAGAUGAGAUUUCCCAGAGCCUUGAGCUCUUUAAAGGGUCGUUCGAGACCAGGACGUUGAUAGGUCAGGUGUGGAAG